GAGUGGCGAACGGGUGAGUAACACGUGGGUAACCUGCCCAUCAGAAGGGGAUAACACUUGGAAACAGGUGCUAAUACCGUAUAACAAUCGAAACCGCAUGGUUUUGAUUUGAAAGGCGCUUUCGGGUGUCGCUGAUGGAUGGACCCGCGGUGCAUUAGCUAGUUGGUGAGGUAACGGCUCACCAAGGCCACGAUGCAUAGCCGACCUGAGAGGGUGAUCGGCCACAUUGGGACUGAGACACGGCCCAAACUCCUACGGGAGGCAGCAGUAGGGAAUCUUCGGCAAUGGACGAAAGUCUGACCGAGCAACGCCGCGUGAGUGAAGAAGGUUUUCGGAUCGUAAAACUCUGUUGUUAGAGAAGAACAAGGAUGAGAGUAACUGUUCAUCCCUUGACGGUAUCUAACCAGAAAGCCACGGCUAACUACGUGCCAGCAGCCGCGGUAAUACGUAGGUGGCAAGCGUUGUCCGGAUUUAUUGGGCGUAAAGCGAGCGCAGGCGGUUUCUUAAGUCUGAUGUGAAAGCCCCCGGCUCAACCGGGGAGGGUCAUUGGAAACUGGGAGACUUGAGUGCAGAAGAGGAGAGUGGAAUUCCAUGUGUAGCGGUGAAAUGCGUAGAUAUAUGGAGGAACACCAGUGGCGAAGGCGGCUCUCUGGUCUGUAACUGACGCUGAGGCUCGAAAGCGUGGGGAGCAAACAGGAUUAGAUACCCUGGUAGUCCACGCCGUAAACGAUGAGUGCUAAGUGUUGGAGGGUUUCCGCCCUUCAGUGCUGCAGCUAACGCAUUAAGCACUCCGCCUGGGGAGUACGACCGCAAGGUUGAAACUCAAAGGAAUUGACGGGGGCCCGCACAAGCGGUGGAGCAUGUGGUUUAAUUCGAAGCAACGCGAAGAACCUUACCAGGUCUUGACAUCCUUUGACCACUCUAGAGAUAGAGCUUCCCCUUCGGGGGCAAAGUGACAGGUGGUGCAUGGUUGUCGUCAGCUCGUGUCGUGAGAUGUUGGGUUAAGUCCCGCAACGAGCGCAACCCUUAUUGUUAGUUGCCAUCAUUUAGUUGGGCACUCUAGCAAGACUGCCGGUGACAAACCGGAGGAAGGUGGGGAUGACGUCAAAUCAUCAUGCCCCUUAUGACCUGGGCUACACACGUGCUACAAUGGGAAGUACAACGAGUCGCGAAGUCGCGAGGCUAAGCUAAUCUCUUAAAGCUUCUCUCAGUUCGGAUUGUAGGCUGCAACUCGCCUACAUGAAGCCGGAAUCGCUAGUAAUCGCGGAUCAGCACGCCGCGGUGAAUACGUUCCCGGGCCUUGUACACACCGCCCGUCACACCACGAGAGUUUGUAACACCCGAAGUCGGUGAGGUAACCUUUUGGAGCCAGCCGCCUAAGG
rnacentral:rRNA from 1 species